rnacentral:tRNA from 1 species
UCCAGGGUAGCCUAGUGGAUAUGGCAUCUGCCCGGUAAGCGGAGCAUUGUGGGUUCGAAUCCCAUCCCUGGAC